UACAUGUAUACACCAAUCAAUGAGGUCUCCGCUAUAAGCUUCCUUCUCAAUUUUCUUGAUCGUCUGCUCUAAGCUCCUCCGUCUCAUACCGUCGCCAGCGGCUCUGAUCGGAUGCCUUCGUAUCAGCGAAGUUCCGGCGAGAUUCACGUCCUCGUCGGAUGGCUUCGCGAUCAGUCUAGUUCUUGUUAGAUUGGAUUUAAUUUCUUCCUCUCCUCCUCUUUUCAAAACAAUUCUGACUUAAUUCUAUUAUUUGGUGAAUCUUUGGCAUUUUUUUUUUUUAAUUUUUCAACCUGGUUUAAUUAACGUAUAAGUCCGUAUCUGUAUUUUUAAGUCUCGGCUGAUGUUAUCCGUAAUUUGAUUGUGGAAUUUAGUAUCAGUAUUUUCCUAAGAUUUGUGUUUGAUAGCUGGCGUUAAGAAUUUGAAGUUUUCAGACGUGAAAUUUGCGUUUUGACCAACCACGCAAAUGUAGAAAUGUUGAAAUGAUAAGAGUCAAUCAAGGACUAAUAAUGCAGUUUGACUCAGUGGUGAUGGCGCGAAAUCCGUGGCGAUCCAUUUCAGAAUGUUUUGUCAUUUACUCGAACACUUGAAUGCAAGGAUUAUGCAGUGAUAUUUCAUGGUUAAAUUGUUUUGAUUUGUAUGACUCUAAUGUCUUGUUGCUAUUUGGACGGUUGCUGGCAUUGGUAACUAUAGUAUAGUAGAAUUUAGCUCAUCAUUGAAAUUGUGGGGUACCGAAAAAAUACUGCAAUGGAAAUAAUUAAUGGAUUUGUUAUCUUGUAAUUGAUUCUAUUGAGUUCUACUGAUUGAUAGCAUGGUUGCUAGUAAUAGAUAGCUGUCCCGCACAUUUGAAAAAAAAAUCACAUCAUACUAAUGAAAGUACCAGUUGAUUGUGUGCUUACUGGAAAAUUUCACAAUUCAAUGGUAUAACUGGAGUUUUGAGUAUUAUAAUGGAGAUGCUAAAAAUCUAAGUUUAAACCUACAAAAUCCUCCUAGAAUCAGAGAGGUGUAGUGCCUUUAGACUGUUGCAUACCUUAUGAUCAAAAGCAUCCUUAGUUUUGAAAAUCAUGUUCAUUAGCUCUAAGGUGCUAUCCAAGAAUUUUAAUUGUUGGCAAUUGCUUUUAACAAGAAAUAUACUUCUUAUAAUGAUCAACAUUUCAGUAUUUUAAAUUUGGAGUUUGCAUUGUUUAUUCCAUUCCAUUUAAAGUGCUACACACGUUGGCAGCUGGACAUGAUUUGCAUUUUACGAAGCCCAACUCUUUUAUGAUCUUUAUGAUUUUGGCUGCAAGGCUGUUGAUUGCGACAGAAACUUUAGCCUUUGCUGGCUUGGAUGGGAUUAUUUGGCAUGCUAUCUACCAAUCAGUACUACUGUUAAUGUAUCUUUUGCAAUUUUAUGAGUGGCCUGUUUUUACCUGUUGUUAUCUUUCACUUUGCUUAUUUUUGUCUUUCUCUCAUUUCUUAGUCUGGUUUUUGUUUUCCUGGUGUUCUUAUUUAAAAUUGUUGCCAUAUCUCUACAAUGUACUUGUGAAAAUCAAAGCUUUUAUUUACAGGGGGAGGUUUGGUUUGGUGCUUGACAUAGUUUGCCUUGCUGAUUGCAUAACCAAUUUGACAGCUGAUAUCACCUUGUAAAAGAUUAACGAGACUAAGACAGAACUAAUUGGUGGUUCCAAUGUCUAUAUGCCUGUCCAUAAAGAUGGCUGUUAUCAGGAGGAAGCGUUGUUUAGCCCCUUUUUUCAACAAGUCCCAUUUACACUGUACCCUUCCCCAUGUAUACAAAAAUGUCAGCUAAUUUUUUUCACGGUAUCUCCAUAUUAGGCACUUAUACUUUCCAAUUAUGUCCUGAAAAAGGUAAAGAACAGUAGAGGAUUGUGCAGCUGAUCAGUGUUGGCAUAGAAAAUAAAUUGUUAAUUGGAAGAUCAUGUACAUAUGUUUUUCUAUCACACAUGAGAUUUUCAGUUGGUCAUACAUACUAAUAUUAAAAGGAAUCAGGGAUGAAUCUUCAUGGGUGUUGGAUAAAAAAUUGGGUGAUCGAAAUUAUAGAUGCUCCCAGUAGUCAAUGAUAUACACUAGUAUUUUACUGCUUUAUAAUGACAAGAGUUAAAACUGCUAUACUCAGAUUUUCUAGAUAUGGAUGGAUGGAUUUUAUGUAGUGCUGUGGAAUAAGUAUUUUAAAUGUGGUAGGUGUUUUUUUCACAAGUAGAAAAGUGAUGCUUUCACUCUUUUCUCUGUAAUGUGCUUUAUAUUGUAAGCAUCUUUUUGGCCCACUUUUCUCAGCAUUGUAGUGUUACUGCCUUUUGCAUUGACCAAAUCACAGUGCCUAUAUGUGCUGACUCCGCUCUCUUCUUCGUGGUGGGGGUUUCUUUUGGAUCCACUAGGAUCUGAAUCUAUAUCAAAUGGCUGGGAUGUAAUUACAAUGUGGUGGGCUUCCAUUUAAUCUAGGCUGGAAACCUGUUAGUGUUCUUUUGAAGAUUUUGAAAAGAUAUGUUCUGCAGUUGAAGGCUUCUCUUCAAGGACAUAAGCUCUUGUUCAAGAUUCUGGAUUCUGAAGCUUGUGGAUUCAUAUUCCUUCCUUGAGAACUCAGGCCUCUGGAUUCCUGUAUCUUUCUGUAGCAAGAAGCUCAGUGGUCUACUGACUUCUACACCAUCUGUGUAUGGACUCUCACCGAGGUUCUGGCUUUUGGAGUUUGCAUAUCUUGAGCUCGAGAGGCUGCCAGAGAAAUCUCCACAAUGUGCAUACCUAAAUGAAUCUGAACACUCUUUGAAGGCUUGGUGUGUGUUUAGUUGCUGAACAAAAAGUGCCUGGACAAUCAGACGUAGUGGCAUCAACUCAUUCUGGACUGCUUCAAUGCAAACUUCUUGUGACAACCUCUGGCAAUUGAGGUCAGGUAGGUCAUCAGGUUGAUGAUUGAUACUAAAAGUUCAAAAUCUUUGAUGUUAAACUGACUCACCUUGAACUGCAUUGCAUCAGGCUAUAGGAGGUGUACUAAAAGUAUCUGAAAGUUUACCUGUAGGAAGGCAUUCAAUGCUCUAUACAAAUGAUCAUGGUUCUGUCUGGUUGAUGCUGGAACAAUUUCAAUAAGAUCCAUGAAUGUUUUAGGUCCAAUUUUUGGGUCAGGAGCCAUAUUUGAGAGAUAUAAAUCCCACAACUCUGCAACAAUAGAAUUGCUCGGGGAAGGACUGCGAUCUGACUCCAUGUUGGAUGACACAUAUGUUGAGAAGAUACUUUGCAUUAUGUCCAAUUCUAUGCUGGAGGAAAUGGAGAGAAAAUCUUCCACCUGUGCCAAGUGCAAAACAGAUGCAAUCUGAUCUUUCAACUUUGCAGUACUCUUACUUCCUAGACCAUGUUCAAGAGACCUAGAGAGCAAUGAGAAAUAAAAGCCAACAGGAAUCACUUUACUGGCUUUAUUUCCCAUUGGUAGCAAAUCAAGAAUGCCAUCUAAGAUAACUGAAACUUUGUUCUUGGUGUCAUUUCUCUCACCGGAUUGCUCCCAGAACUGGCGUGUCUUCUUCGAGAGUACCCAUUUGUUCGUGUAGAAAACAAUAAUGGGGCUCACAUAUUUUUCUUUCAUUCCUUGUCUUCUCAAGGAACCAAUUAUCCUCUUGAAGAAGACAAAUGGCAGGGCAAUGAGAUCCUUGAUCCACAGAUUCUGGUUCAGUAUUUCCUUCAGUGCUUCACUGCGCCAUGCUUGACUGGCCAAAGCCUCCAGUGUAACUACUGGCUUGUCCCUUCUCCUCUCCGGGUCAAGAAUUUCCAUACAAGCCAUGAAAGCAAGAGAUUCAAUGCAUCGGGUCACAAUUAGUAGCUCUUCUGCCCAGGGAAGCAAUGUUUGGCACUUUUGGAGAACAAUCAAGGUGUCAUCCCAACUCUGCAACACCACUUGGUUCAAGUAAAUAUCAAACCUCUCACAAAGGUUGCCAGAGCUCUGCUCUUCUGUCAUUUCAAGGAACUCCGCCGCACAUCGCAGGGCUGCUACAUUGAAGGGGUCAACUAAUGUGGAGGAACCAUAAAUGAAAAGUGCAAUCAUCUCAAAGGUCUCUGCUCCUCCUGGGAAAUUUUGAGGUAACUCAGCCUCAUUGGACUCGCUCAAUUUUCGCUUCAAGUAUCCACUCUUGGAAAACAGUGGGUACUGCAAAACAGUAAAGAAAUACUCUAGAAGAUUAAAGGUUACCUUGUGCAUCCAUUCAGAUGAGGCACAUUCUGGGUGUAACUAAACAAAUAUGCUAUACAGUCUGUUUGCUCAAAAUGGAAAACAAGUACACAAGCAAAUUGCAGAUUAAAGGUUCUAUCAACAACUUGAAUGCGAACCGAAACUGGCAAACCAGUCUCUUGACUCCUGAGACAAAUAAAUUGUGUUCCAUAGGUUAGAUACACGGGGAUCUGGGAUUCGAGAAAAGAAAUAAAGAGAUAUGGUUUGAAACACAAAUGAAAUCCAUCAUUCAAUCAUCUUACCAUGAAAUUAUCUUAAUCUUCAGCAGGGCACUAACAUUUGGUGAGGAGAAGGGACUAGAGAGCACUGGGCUGUUUUUGAGGCUGGCAGUGUCCAUUACCAAGGCUCAUGAAGAAGACUGGAUCCAGAGAAAGUGAAACAAUUAAUGGAGAUCACAGCUGAACUUAUACUGGAGAAUAAAUAGCUUCUAGAACCCAGAAAACCGGUGGAAAUUCAUGGGAAUGGAAGUGAAAAAAGAGGUGGCUUGACAACUUUGCUCACACACGUGCAAUCUCUUUGAUUUUCUAUGUUUUAGUCAAAGAAGUAUGAACUCCUGUGAACUCAAAGUCCAAAUUUUAAGGCUUCAAAACCGUUCUUGAGGGCCGUGAAUUUGAAAUCCUGUGCCAUUUCUUGCUAUCAAACUGAAGAAGCUGGUGGAAUAUUUUCCACUUUAUGCAAUUUCUGUGUACUUCCUUGAGUGUACAAUACCAAAUUCAGAUGGUUCGAGUGAUCCAUUCCUGACCAUGGGGUUAAUUAAACAUCCCUCUAGAUGUGUUAUUAUUUACA